AUGGAGGCGGCGACGCAGCUUGCGUCCAUAGUCGGUGAGCUGGUGGGCAAGGAGUACCGGCAGCUCCGCGGCGUGGGUGGCAAGGUGGCUGAGCUCAGCGACGAGCUGGACACCAUGAACGCCAUCCUCCGCAUGCUGUCUGAUGCUGAGGAAGGUACCGUGGACCACUUCAUCCGGGUGUGGAUGAAGCAGGUGCGCGAGCUGGCCUACGAUGCGGAGGACUGCGUGCACCUCUACAUCCUCCGCAUUCGGUGCCGGCCGAAAGACCGGUUUCUCGUCUGGUCCAAGCGCAUGCUUUCGACGCUCUUCCCUCGCCGUAGACUAGCUCGUGAGAUUGAGGCGCUCCGCGCUCGUGCUGUGGUGAUCAGCGAACGGCAGGCGCGUUAUGGCGUCAGCCGUGAGGCAUUACUACGUGGCUCUACUUCUUCUUUACCUGCUCCAGCACCGGUUCCCGGCCAUGCGCUCGGCCGGUUGGCAGCGAACGGCCAUGACCAACUCGUCGGCAUCACGGACAAGGCUAACAAACUAGCAGAGAAGGUGGAGGAGGUGAGUGAGAAUGAGCAUGACAAGAAGCUCAAGGUGUUCUCCAUCGUGGGGUUCGGGGGGCUCGGGAAGACUACACUGGCGAUGGAGGUGUGCCGGAAGCUGGAGGGAUCGUUCCAACGCCAAGCGCUAGUUUCUGUGUCCCAGGCAUUCCACGGCAAUAAGGAUCUCGAGGGAUUGCUGAAGCGCAUGCUUCAGCAGAUCGUGGAGCUGAAACCAGAUAACGCAAAAGGCAUCAAGGAAGAGGACCCGCUAGAUGGGAUCAACGAGAUGGGUGUAGACCUGCUCACCAUCAAGCUCAACGAGCUUCUCAGGAACAUAAGAUACCUCAUUGUGGUGGAUGAUGUAUGGACAGUAGCAGCAUGGGACACAAUCGGAUCCAAGUUGCCCGACUACAACAAUGGCAGCAGGAUCAUUGUGACCACUCGGAUAGAGAUUGUGGCAAAUGCAUGCAGCGGUUCUAGUGUUGAUGGAGAUUGUAUUUAUAGGAUCAAGCCCCUUGAUACUGGCGACUCCAAGACAUUGUUCCUCAGCAGAGUACUUCGUUCCAGGAGUGACACUUUGCCCAAUAAUCUGAAAGCUGAAAUGAACAAAAUUUUGGAAAAAUGUGGUGGUCUGCCAAUGGCCAUUAUUAGCAUUGCCAGCAUCUUGGGGAGCUAUACAUCGUCCGAGAGCAAAGAUACAUGGGAAAGAGUUCGCAAGUCAAUCGGCUCUCAAAUGGAGAGCCACCCUACCCUUGAGGGGAUGAAGCAGAUUGUUACUCUCAGCUAUAACCACCUGCACUAUUAUCUCAAGGGUUGCAUGAUGUACGUCAGUAUUUUCCCGGAGGAUUAUGUCAUCGUCAAGAAUCGGCUCUUGAGGAGAUGGGUUGCAGAAGGAUUGGUAGCUGAGAUCCGGGGUUUGACCUUAAUGGAGGUUGCAGAAGCCUACUACAACGAAUUGGUGAGUAGGAGCAUGAUUGAUCGGGCUGGUGAUAUAGUCAACCAUUAUGAUGGAAGGUUGGAGACGUGCCGUGUACACGACAUGGUACUUGAGGUCAUGGUGUCCAAAUCCCUGGAGGCUAACUUUGUUAGCCUAGUAGGUGGCUCUUACGAAGGGAUGUCAUAUGGUAGCAUUCGCCGCUUGUCCAUCCAUGCUGGAGAAGAGGUAGUAUCCAUGGAAUCCACAUCCAACAAAAUUACAUCAUCGCAUGCUAUGAAGAAUGGCAUUGAGGGGAUGAAGAUGGAGCAUGUCCGAUCACUGAGCAUGUUUGACCUCAGAGAUCACAUGAAGGUGCUUGAUCGUCUCGGUGAGUUCAGCCUGCUAAGGGUACUUGACCUGGAAGACUGCAUGGGCAUAGAAAACAAGCAUUUGAGGCAUGUGUGCCGGAUGUACCUGCUAAGGUUCUUGAGCAUGAAAGGUACAAGUAUCGAUGAGAUGCCUCCUGAAGUUGGUGACCUGGAGAAUUUGGAGACGCUUGACGUACGUGAGACAAACCUUGAAGAUCUACCAGAAACUGUGUCAAAGCUAGAGAAACUUGAACACCUGCAAAUAAAUAACAAGGCUGACAAGUACUUAGGGUGUUGGAUUGCACGCAGGGGCUUGGGUAGGAUGAAGGCACUGCGGAUGGUGAAUACAGUAGUUUUUGGAUCUGAUGCUAAAGCUGCCAAAGAGCUCGGUGAACUACAGCAAAUGAGAGAGUUACGUAUAACCAUGGACACCCGGGAUCCCGAUGAUCCUCAUCAUGAGGAUGUUAGGGAAAAGCUAGCCAAGUCCCUGAGCAAGAUGUAUUCCCUCCGGUGGCUCAGCAUUGGCAGUAAAGGAUAUAAGGACAGUGAUGCGUUGAACUUUCUAGAUGGCAUCAACCCGCCGCCGCCACUCCUCGAGUAUCUUAGGAUCGGCGCCAGCAUUGACGAAUUGCCCACCUGGGUCAGCUCACUGAAUAAUCUUGUUGAGAUUGUCAUUGCUUGGACAUACUUGUUUGGUGCCCAACUGUUCGGCCCAGUAUGUGAGCUGCCAAAUCUGAAGCGCAUGCACUUGGAGAGGUACUCCUGCAGGGAUGCAGAGCUGAUUGCGGAAACUGCCUACGCCUUUCCUGCUCUCAAGGACCUGUACGUGAACUUUUUAUAUGAAGAUAUAGAAGUUCUUCUAUUUCAGGAAGCAUCAAUGGCAAAGCUCGAGACACUCUCGGUGAGAUUCCCCACCGAUGUUUUUAAGGAAGUCGCUGGCAUGGAGCAUUUGAGAAGCCUUAAAGAAGUGCAGCUCAUUGGUAGGAAAGGCAACUCUUCACUGGGCUAUGCACUGGAUCAACUAAAGAAACUGAAUGAGAAGCGCCAAGAAUCCAAUAUGAUCAAGGUUGCAGUGAAAUACGAGUGA
rnacentral:rRNA from 1 species